GUCUUUUUAAACUAUUAAAUAAACCGUCUCAUUUGGGAAUAAGGCUAUGCUGGCUUAUAAAAGUUAUGAUUUUCAAUCAUAGGGCUGUUCACGAUGCAGGGUUUUGACUGACUAAUAAGAGCGCCUCAUAAGAGUCAUUUGCCCGUGAAUUGAUACUAGUCGUCGUCUCGUUCAAUUUGUUUACGCGUGCAGCCCGCGAGGACGACACAACAGAAAGUCGUUUCUUGAGAUUAUUUGGCGGUCUUCUGCAUCACAUAGAAUUCAGACUGCGAACUUCCAUUCUCAACACAAGUUUGCAGCGUGUGUGCUGUCUUACCGGACCAUCUGGAGAGUAUCCUCCCUGACCCAGCAGCCAUCUGGAUCCAGUCCAGGAUUCACGUCCGUUCUGACGUUCCUGUCGCUCCAUCGUUCCUGUACUCCACCGCUCCACGUGAUUCCUACUGGAAAGCCAAGAUCUGUUACCGCAAGCUAAGCCCUCUGAACUCUGUCACUGUGUGCUUCACUUACCUCUCAUCACCACCUGGUUCACGCCAUUGUUUCUAUCAUUAAAGACCCUUGUUUGACCAGUUACCUC
rnacentral:lncRNA from 1 species